UACGAAGGGGGCUAGCGUUGUUCGGAAUCACUGGGCGUAAAGGGCGUGUAGGCGGUUAGGUAAGUGGGAUGUGAAAUCCCUCGGCUCACCCGAGGACCUGCAUCCCAAACUGCCUGACUUGAGUAUGGGAGAGGAUGAGGGAAUUCCUGGUGUAGCGGUGAAAUGCGUAGAUAUCAGGAGGAGCACCGGUGGCGAAGGCGCUCAUCUGGCCCAAUACUGACGCUGAGGCGCGAAAGCUAGGGGAGCAAACGGG
rnacentral:rRNA from 1 species